UAGCUCUGUAAACCACAUGUACAGCACAUAUAUACCACAUGUAGAGCACGGUCCAGCGACUUUGGAUGAAAUUCUAGUAAUGAAGAAGCCUAGGCCUGAAAAGACAAACACGCAUGGAGCUGGCCCGGGAUCGAGGCUGUUGAACGAGAUUCGAAAAGACAAACUGAAAACGAUAAAAUCCUCAGUAGUGCAUGAAUACUCAGCCAGAGCUCCCACACGAUGAUGGCGGUUCAACUGAAAGAAGCCACAGCUGCUGUUACCGAUUCAUCACAUGGGCAAGAGGAUCAAACCAAGUGAAAAAGCAGAUAAAUGACAAGGAUUGCUACUGAACGUGAAAAGAAAGUAGAAACAGUGUCACUUGUAAAGAACAUUCCUCAAGUGCAUUUUUGCUGGUCUAGAGUUGGCGUGCCAAAUGGUUAUUACACGUAAUUGAAGCUGUGGCGAUUAGAUAAGA